UCCGGUGAUGAUGGCGGAAAGGCCACACCCGAAUACAUCCCGAACUCGGAAGUUAAGCUUUCCAGCGCCGAUGGUAGUUGGGGGUUUCCCCCUGCGAGAGUAGGACGUUGCCGGGC
rnacentral:rRNA from 1 species